UCCCCCAGGCUCACGAUGGACCCAUCCCCCCCCGCCCCGGGGAGCGUGACCCCCAUGACCUCCCACUUCACUAUGGGCUGUGCGGAAACAAAGCGCGUGGAGGACGAGUCGGUACUCCCCUUCCCGGGAUCUCGGUGCCCUGAAUCCCGUCCCUCAUUGGCCGGAACGUGGAGCGUUGGUCUCUCCCCAUUGGCCCUGGGGACUGUCAGUCUCCUCCAGAUCCUUUCUUUGGUUAGCGGGAUUGUGCAAGCAGGAGCCAAUCAGGCUCUCGGGCAGGAAAUUAGAAGACGUAGCCCCGCCUUUGGAAGCCCCUUAAAGCAGGAGACCCAAACCAGGAGCAACAAGCAAGUCCAAGAAAUCACAGGCUUGGCAGGCGCGGAAACGGCUCAAACACCUCUCGAAUUGGUUCCGGAAGGGGAGUCGCGGGAGAGCAGCGAGACCUUCGAGCAGCAGCGCUUCUGGGACACGCUAGGUCAGACGUUCAAAGCGACAUCCCAGGAAGCUACGAAGUUGAGUCUGGCAUUCUCGCGGCCUCCGCUGCCUUCUGCAGAGGACUGUCAGAAGCUGAGUGAAGGUGUCCAGAAUGCUGUCCUAGCAGCUGCCACAGUGUAUUACUGGCUUCCCAAGGGCCAAGGUACCACUCUGCGGAAGAUGGUGCGAGAUGCCACUGCCGAGGUAGUGGAAGGAAUGAUCCAGCUCACAGACGUGAUUCUCAGUACUCCACUGCAGAGUUUGUCUCAGGAGCAGCUUAUAUCAACUGGUAGCAUAUGGGAGGCAUGUGAGCAGAUUUCCCAUCUGCCACAAGAUAACCAUGCAGCAGUCCUGUCAGCCAUGGCCGCCUAUCUGGGUGUGGUCAGGGAUGCGGUGGAGGAGAUGGAGCAGGCUCAGAGGGAAGAUCAGGACCCCUACAGUGACAUCAUGGAGGAUGAGGAGUUGGGCUCUCGGGGCAAUAGGGACACGUACUGGUCUGAGGCUGACCGGAAGCUACUUAGUCCCUGCAUGGGGCUGAUGAAGGCCUCCAAAGCCUGCCUGAAGAAGCUCUUGGGUGCAGUGAAGCUUCAUGGCAAAGCAGACACCCCAGAACAAGUGGCUCAGCUAGAUGAUCUUGCAGACAUCACCAAUGAGAUCAGCCCGAGUGUUGAUGAGCUGGCACUAAGCAUGUAUCCGCCCAUGAACCAGCUGUCUGUGCGACUCAAUCAGAGAGAAAGCGUCAGCGUUCCUACACUGUAGAAGAAAAGCUAGCUGCAACAGAUCGAGUAAAUAGCGGAGAAACCCAGGCCAAGGUUUCAAAAGCUAUUGGGAUGGCCGAAUCUACUCCGAGGAUGGCUAAAAAAAGAAUCUAAACUGAACGGCUUUGUACAACAUAUCGAUUCUGCCGCGGGGCUAAGGCGAAAACGUGUGCGAUGUUCAGCAAAACCCACAGUAGACACAGCCGUGUGCACAGGGUUUGCUCAGGAAAGGCUGAAAGGAACGCCACUCAGUGGGCCGAAUCUUCAAGCCCAAGCAAAAAAAUUUGGAAAUUUAACGGGGGAUGAAUCAUUCCAAGCCAGCAAGCAGUAUAUAAGUUGUUUUAAAAAGCAUCAUGGCAUAGCGCAGGUAUUGAUUUCUGGAGAGAGCUGAUCAGCCGAUGAAUUAGCUGCGAACACGUUUCCUACCAAGUUAAAAUCUGUUUUACAAAAUGAAGACUACCACGACGAACAACUUUAUAAUUGUGAUGAAACAGCUUUAUUUGCAAAACUGCUACCAGAUAAGACUUUAGCCUUUAAUUACGAGACAGAAAACAGCUGGAUUUAAAAAGAUAAGAUCAUGUGACUUUUUUUUUUUGUAGUAAUAAGACAGGCAGCCAUAAGCUUGCCCCUCUUCUAGUUGGCCGCGUUCAUAACUCUCGCUGCUUUAAUCACCUCAGUAGAGCCAAACUGCCAGUAAUAUAUGCUAACAGCGAAAAUGCUUGGAUGAUGAGACUCAUUUUCGACGACUGGUUCCACAACAGCUUUGUGCCAGCUGUUCGUAGGCAUCUGCAGUCGAAGAAACUCGAAGCCAAAGCACUUUUGCUACUUGACAGUUGUCUAGCCCAUCCUCCGGCCAAAUCACUGGUAUCGAGUGAUGGAAAAAUUCGAGUGCUAUACCUACCAUUCGACACAACUUCAAAAAUUCAAUCUUUAGACCAGGGCAUUAUUCAGUAUUUUUAAAAACAAUUAUUGACGGGAGCUGAUUUCGGCGAUCGUGUCAUGCACGUUUUCAGGCAUUUCUGAAUUCCUGAAACAGUUAAACAUGAAGGAAAUUAUUUAUUUAGUUAAACUUGGGACGGAGUAAAACAAAAGUCCAUUGAAAAUUGCUGGAUGAAGGCUCUUGGUGAUGCCUUUUCUGUCAAAGACGGCUCAGACUUGGAAAACUCCAGCAGUGGCACUGAUUCAGAGCCAGACUCUGAAGGAUUUUCGGAAGACAAUGUCCUACAAACACGCACGCAGACAAAAGAGGAUAAAGGUAAACUUCUCUUUCAAAUGACAAGAUUUUAGUUUGGAUACGUCACUGGAAAUCAUUACCGAAUGGCUGGAGAUGGAUGAAGAUUGCCCGACUUCAGAACUUCUGUCUGAGGAAGAAAUAUUAACAGGCUGCGAGGCUAUGUCGGACCGCGAAAGUGAUGGCGAGGAUGUCGUUGAAAAGGCUGCCAAACUGGCCUCUGUAUUAAAGAAAGUCCUAGAAAUUACAAAGGCAAGCCAUGUGUGUCCCCCAUCGGAGGAAGGCUGGGUUCAGUUUCUCACUGGUGCAGUAGAUCACAACAUGGA